rnacentral:rRNA from 1 species
UACGAGAGGCCCGAGCGUUAAUCGGAAUCACUGGGCUUAAAGGGUGCGCAGGCUGACUCGUGUGUGUGUCGUGAAAUCCCCCGGCUCAACCGGGGAAUUGCGGCGCAAACUGCGGGUCUUGAGGCGGGUAGGGGUCGUUGGAACGAUCGGUGGAGCGGUGAAAUGCGUUGAGAUCGAUCGGAACGCCGAAGGUGAAGACAAGCGACUGGGCCCGUCCUGACGCUCAUGCACGAAAGCGUGGGGAUCAAACAGG